UGCGUAGGUGGUUCGUUAAGUCUGAUGUGAAAGCCCUGGGCUCAACCUGGGAAUGGCAUUGGAUACUGGCGAGCUAGAGUGCGGUAGAGGGUAGUGGAAUUCCCGGUGUAGCAGUGAAAUGCGUAGAGAUCGGGAGGAACAUCUGUGGCGAAGGCGACUACCUGGACCAGCACUGACACUGAGGCACGAAAGCGUGGGGAGCAAACAGGAUUAGAUACCCUGGUAGUCCACGCCCUAAACGAUGCGAACUGGAUGUUGGGAGCAAUUAGGCUCUCAGUAUCGAAGCUAACGCGUUAAGUUCGCCGCCUGGGGAGUACGGUCGCAAGACUGAA
rnacentral:rRNA from 1 species